rnacentral:rRNA from 1 species
AGUGAACGCUGGCGGUAGGCCUAACACAUGCAAGUCGAACGGCAGCACAGUAAGAGCUUGCUCUUACGGGUGGCGAGUGGCGGACGGGUGAGGAAUACAUCGGAAUCUACUUUUUCGUGGGGGAUAACGUAGGGAAACUUACGCUAAUACCGCAUACGACCUACGGGUGAAAGCAGGGGAUCUUCGGACCUUGCGCGAUUGAAUGAGCCGAUGUCGGAUUAGCUAGUUGGCGGGGUAAAGGCCCACCAAGGCGACGAUCCGUAGCUGGUCUGAGAGGAUGAUCCGCCACCCUGGAACUUGGACACGGUCCAGACUCCUGCGGGAGGCAGCAGUGGGGAAUAUUGGACAAUGGGCGCAAGCCUGAUCCAGCCAUACCGCGUGGGUGAAGAAGGCCUUCGGGUUGUAAAGCCCUUUUGUUGGGAAAGAAAAGCAGCAGGUUAAUACCCCGCUGUUCUGACGGUACCCAAAGAAUAAGCACCGGCUAACUUCGUG